rnacentral:tRNA from 1 species
UGGGGUAUAGCUCAGAGGCAGAGCAUGUGCUUAGCAUGCUUAAGGCCCUGGGUUCAAUCCUCAGCACUGCUC